CAAGUCUGACUUGCAUCUACACUGUGGGCAAGAUGCGGCUGCAAGACCGCAUCGCCACGUUCUUCUUCCCAAAAGGCAUGAUGCUCACCACGGCUGCGCUGAUGCUCUUCUUCUUACACCUGGGCAUCUUCAUCAGAGACGUGCACAACUUCUGCAUCACCUACCACUAUGACCACAUGAGCUUUCACUACACGGUCGUCCUGAUGUUCUCCCAGGUGAUCAGCAUCUGCUGGGCCGCCAUGGGGUCACUCUAUGCUGAGAUGACAGAAAACAAGUACGUCUGCUUCUCCGCCCUGACCAUCCUGAGUGAGUGGCAGGAAGGGGAGGGUGCAAGAGGGAGCGGGGAGCUUUGGAACCCUGAGAUGUGGCAAGGAGUAGCCAGGGAAGCGUCCUGGGGCUCAUGGGGGGCUCUGUCCCCCGCCCAGUGCUCAACGGAGCCAUGUUCUUCAACCGCCUGUCCUUGGAGUUUCUGGCCAUCGAGUACCGGGAGGAGCACCACUGAGGCCUGGGGAGUCGGAACAGGGCUAAGGAGGGGGAAGCAAAAGGCUGCCUCGGGUGUUUUAAUAAAGUUGUUGUUUAUUUCCA
rnacentral:sRNA from 1 species